UGGAGAUUUUGAAGUAAAUGAAAAAUGGUUUUCUUUGUUCUUGGGUUUUGAUUGAAGGUUUUACUGUUUGACUAGGUGUCUUUGAAUUCAGUUGGCGGAUUACGAAGAUUGAGGUUUGAGUAGCGGUUUGAGUGACAGGUAGCCUCGAUGCAAGUGGUGUUGACUCGACAGAUGGAGAAAUUAGUGUCUGGG